UGGCUCAGGACGAACGCUGGCGGCGUGCUUCAUACAUGCAAGUCGAACGAGAAAUUCACUUCGGUGGAUGGAAAGUGGCGGACGGGUGAGUAAUGUGUAGAGAAUCUGCCCUAGAGUGGGGGACAACAGUUGGAAACGACUGCUAAUACCCCAUAUGCGCGUAGUUGAGAUACUAUUCGUGAAAACUCCGGUGCUCUGGGAUGAGUCUGCAUCUGAUUAGCUAGUUGGGGGUGUAAUGGACCACCAAGGCGACGAUCAGUAGCUGGUUUGAGAGGAUGAUCAGCCACAAUGGGACUGAGACACGGCCCAUACUCCUACGGGAGGCAGCAGUAGGGAAUUUUGCGCAAUGGGGGAAACCCUGACGCAGCAACGCCGCGUGACCGAUUAAGCCCUUCGGGGUGUAAAGGUCUGUCAGUGGGGACGAAACCUGACGGUACCCACAGAGGAAGCAUCGGCUAACUCCGUGCCAGCCGCCGC
rnacentral:rRNA from 1 species